UGGGGAAUUUUGGACAAUGGGCGAAAGCCUGAUCCAGCAAUGCCGCGUGUGUGAAGAAGGCCUUCGGGUUGUAAAGCACUUUUGUCCGGAAAGAAAUCCUUGGCUCUAAUACAGUCGGGGGAUGACGGUACCGGAAGAAUAAGCACCGGCUAACUACGUGCCAGCAGCCGCGGUAAUACGUAGGGUGCAAGCGUUAAUCGGAAUUACUGGGCGUAAAGCGUGCGCAGGCGGUUUGCUAAGACCGAUGUGAAAUCCCCGGGCUCAACCUGGGAACUGCAUUGGUGACUGGCAGGCUAGAGUAUGGCAGAGGGGGGUAGAAUUCCACGUGUAGCAGUGAAAUGCGUAGAGAUGUGGAGGAAUACCGAUGGCGAAGGCAGCCCCUGGGCCAAUACUGACGCUCAUGCACGAAAGCGUGGGGAGCAAACAGGAUUAGAUACCCUGGUAGUCCACGCCCUAAACGAUGUCAACUAGUUGUUGGGGAUUCAUUUCCUUAGUAACGUAGCUAACGCGUGAAGUUGACCGCCUGGGGAGUACGGUCGCAAGAUUAAAACUCAAAUGAAUUGACGGGGUCAUAGCUGUUUCC
rnacentral:rRNA from 1 species